CUCAGAGGUUCGUUUUAUUGUCAUCUAAUUUCCGAUUAUAUCCCAAGUGUUGCAAGGCUUUUAUUGAACAGCUCAAGUGGUUUGCAUUGGUGGAAACAUCUGUGGGACAAGUAUGUGUCUCAUGUUCCUUGGUCUUCCAAUGUGUGAAAGCGGUAUGCAAAACCAAAAGACUUGGCGGUGGCUUUGAAACAAGAUCAGCUUUCAUUGCUGCCGCAGCUUCUGGUCCUUGUUACCU